rnacentral:rRNA from 1 species
AACGCGAAGAACCUUACCAGGGCUUGACAUGGAGAGGCUGUGUCCAGAGAUGGGCAUUCCCGCAAGGGCCUCUUGCACAGGUGCUGCAUGGCUGUCGUCAGCUCGUGUCGUGAGAUGUUGGGUUAAGUCCCGCAACGAGCGCAACCCUCGCCUUCAGUUGCCAUCACGUUUGGGUGGGCACUCUGAAGGAACUGCCGGUGACAAGCCGGAGGAAGGUGGGGAUGACGUCAAGUCCUCAUGGCCCUUAUGUCCUGGGCUACACACGUGCUACAAUGGCGGUGACAGCGGGAAGCCAGGUCGCGAGGCCGAGCUGAUCCCGAAAAGCCGUCUCAGUUCGGAUUGCACUCUGCAACUCGGGUGCAUGAAGGUGGAAUCGCUAGUAAUCGCGGAACAGCAUGCCGCGGUGAAUACGUUCCCGGGCCUUGUACACACCGCUCGCGA